rnacentral:lncRNA from 10 species
CUGAUUUCUAAUACAAUCCCCUCAGUUAUGAAUAAUUUAUUUUUUUGAUUUAAUCAGCUUGGUUUUUUUGAAAUAUCUUGUUGCCCAAAAUAUAGUGUAUCAUUAGCCAAUGUUUUGAAAGACCAUGGAAUCUGCUGUGGUUUGGUGGAGUGUUCUCUAAGUAUCAGCCUUGUCCAGAUGGUUGAUAGCAUUGUUGAAGUCGUUUGCAUCCGCAGUGGCCCAAGAGGCUGGGCCGUUUGCACUUCAACCUGGAUCUGCUGCAGAGCCCUUUUCUAUCCUGAGUCCCACUCACGACUGGCUGACUUUCAUGUCACCUGCUGGGCCAAACCUGUAUUCCAACGGGUAGAAUAUGUAGCCUCCAGAAACCAAAGAAGUCCUAUUUGUGGCUUCCUUCUUUGAAAGACAAAGACACAUAUUAACAACACUGGAAUAAAAUAAAUAUUCCUGUAAUCCUGAACUCUGAUUCACUCCGUCUUUAUGUUACACACAUUACAAAGGCCUUAUUAAUGGGGACACCAUUUAGUGGCAUUUGAUGGCAGCAGUAGAGACGAAUGCCCAGAUUCAAGGUGCAGGGCAAUACCAGCCAGGGGAAAUCAGCCUCUCAACCACAGCCACAAUAUGACUAGGCAGCCACAAAGAGUUCCCAAGUAAUUUUCUGAUCAUUGACCCGGUCGUGGUGCAGUAUCUGGACUUGCUCUCUAAUGAGGAAAAUUUAAUGUUGUGAUGUCCUUGAUUCUACUGCACCAACAUUCAUCUGGUCUGUUUGUCUGUCAGCCACUCACAAGGACACUCAAGUCAAAUUCUCUAAAUAUAUAAUUGUCUUCCUUCAAAUUCUAGAGAAAAGGUUGAUUUUAGAUUUGCCUAGCAAAUUAAAUAUUUUAAUGCUAUUAAUAGGAUCAUUUAAAUGGUAUCCUUCUCUUAGUCUCUCUGCAAAGGUUAACCUGGGGCAAAUUUCAUAAUAGGUUUUUCUUUAUUUUCAUUUUCCUCUAUAACUUCUGAGUAAGAUGACCUACUCUGAGAAAACCUAUGAAGUUAGUUUUAACCCAAAACAAAAUCAUUAUUUUGAAAUUUAAUACCAUCACAAGCCAGAGACAAAAGAUAUUACUCUUGCUUUAUGGCUUAUUAGGACUAUUAAUGACUAGUAAGUAUUUGCUUUAAUCUUCCAUAAGUCAAUAGGUUUCUUCCUUUUAUUUUGCCUUAUACAAAUAAUUGUAUAAUAGUUUUCCUGUUAUAACAGAUUUGUGUACCUUCUUAUUUUCAGUAUUAAUUUUUGCCUAGGACUGCUAGGAUUCCAGAAUACAAAAGAAACCAUUUUCUAGGUUGAGGAUGUUUCUAAUUUACUAAGAAUAUUUAUCCAUGAAUCUCUGUUCCAGCGAGGGACAAUUUCAGUUAGUGAGACAACGCAGACGGCUUCAUUCCCAGGUGCCUGGGAGCCAGGAAUCCAUUCACAGGACCUGUAGCUUCACAGAUGGAAGCUCCAUUUGUGGGUGACUUGGUCUUAAUUCUCAUCUAAGGACAAACUCUCACCUUUAAUUUAAAGAAGGUUCAUUGAUGCUCAGGUAGGGAACAGGCCUCUGUGUGUCUCAGCCUCAUCCAUAACAGUGUGGGUUUGCACUGUCUGGACUAAUACAGUCUGUAGAACAAAGUCUACACGAUGUGCAACAGGGAUCUAUAAAUGAGAAUGCUAUGUUGUUUAUUUCAAAACUGUGGGCUUAUUUCUCAAUGGCCUGUGCCAAACUCAAAUUUUAAAACGUAAUUGUUUUAAAAACCACAAAAAUAAGAAUAGUUUUAACCUUUUAGAAAAUACUUAAUCUACAUAUCCAGAAAGCCUGACCCACAUCUGCUAGCAGUAGGUAAGACAAGCCCCGGUUUAUGAAAACCUUAAACUUAAUACUGGUCUCUGUAGCUCUCUGACACAGAAACUCCCCACUGUGCUGCUGUGUGGCAUCCCCUAAAUGCAUAUCCCUUCUACAGUGUCCUGCACAUUUUGAGAAACAACCCUGGCACCUGAUUCUCUGGACUACCACCUGCUGUGAGGGACUUCUUGCUGUAAACCUGUCAAAGCUUCACCCAAUAGACUAGGUCACAUGUGCUACUGCCGUCUGUGGUCAUCUGUUUUUCCUUGGUCAGCCAACAAAUCCCUCAACCCCCCUACAAACAGGAUCACAGUGUCCACCCCAUAAACACUGAUUCCCGGUAAUGAACACAAACAAUUCCACUUCCAAGACUCUCUUCUCAAGUCAUAUGAGUAAUACAGUUCUUUUCAAUUACAUGGAUCCCAAACUAACCAAUCAGGAAAAGGAGACACAGCCACACUAAACCCUGCCUGUAGAAAUCCUCCCUCAUUCAGAUGACCAUGAUUCAGAUGAGAGACACAUAGAGGCCUGCUCCCACCCUGGUUCAAAUGUAGGUUGCUCUUCCAUCUUGUCUGUGUCCACUGUAGAGUGACCAGCUUUGUCUGCUGCUGUGAAAGCCCUGGUAGGAUGCAUCAACAGAUAAGAGAGGGAGGAUUCUGGUUAGAAUUAGUAAUAGUGUUCUUUAAGUCUACAGUUUAAAUCGGGUAAUUUCAAAGGCUUUUUCUGACUAAAAAAGGAUUUGUCCAAGUUUUUACAUUUUCCAGAUAUGUAAGGCGACAAAUCAUGAGAUUUUUGUUAAAAAUCCCAGGGGUAGUCUUUUUAAUGGUUCAUUCAUUCUCAUAGAAAACAGCAAUGCUCUCCUAAAUUCAAGCAAUCUAAAUACUUUGUGAAAAUAACAUUUUCAAGAAUUGGCUUACAGUAAAAGAAAACAGGGCAAUUUUUUUUACUGUUAAUCACUUUCCUGCAAUUCAAAUCUUUGCAUUAGAUAAUGGAUAAAACUGAUUAUUGAUUUAACACCCUUUCAGAAUAAUUAUUUAAAACUAACAAUAAAAUGGACCAUUUUGUUCUAUUUUAGUUAGGCUGUUUAUGUCUCCUUCUUCCAUUCCUUCAGCUUCAGAUGUUUCUGACUUUUUUUCACUACCAUGGUUAAGAGUCUGACCUUUUCAACACUAAGAAGCAGAUCAGAAUUUGCUGACAUCAUCAGAAAAAAAGUCGGGUACCCAAAAUUUGCAACAUGUAAUAAGAGAAAAGAAUAAAUAAAAUUUUAACAGUGAAAUAUGAGACUUUUAUUUCAAUACCUCCUCGUAGCUACUGUUUAAUAUCAUCAGCCCAUAUUAUUGUCAUGGAGUUCAACAUUUGAAGGUCAAUAUCAUUUUUAAUCAAGUAUGUUUUCCGAUCUUAUUAAAAAAUGAUAUUUUGGUAGAUUCCCCAGAAGAUAUUCAGAUCAAGCUUUCUUUGCAGUCUUACCUACAAUGGCAUUUAUUUGUGUUCUUGGGCAAUUAAGUAUGGCUUUGUGUUAAAUUACCCAAGCUUAC